AGAGUUUGAUCAUGGCUCAGGACGAACGCUGGCGGCGUGCCUAACACAUGCAAGUCGAGCGAUGAAAUCCUUCGGGAUGGAUUAGCGGCGGACGGGUGAGUAACACGUGGGUAACCUGCCUCAAAGAGGGGAAUAGCCUUCCGAAAGGAAGAUUAAUACCGCAUAAUAUGUUUUGGUCGCAUGACUAGAACAUCAAAGGAGCAAUCCGCUUUGAGAUGGACCCGCGGCGCAUUAGCUAGUUGGUGAGGUAACGGCUCACCAAGGCGACGAUGCGUAGCCGACCUGAGAGGGUGAUCGGCCACAUUGGAACUGAGACACGGUCCAGACUCCUACGGGAGGCAGCAGUGGGGAAUAUUGCGCAAUGGGGGAAACCCUGACGCAGCAACGCCGCGUGAAUGAUGAAGGCCUUCGGGUUGUAAAGUUCUGUCUUCUGGGACGAUAAUGACGGUACCGAGAGAGCACGACUUUCU
rnacentral:rRNA from 1 species